GUGCUCCCUUCGGCAGCACAUAUACUAAAAUUAGAACAAUACAGAGAACAUUAGCAUGGUCCCUGCACAUGCAAAUUUGUGAAGCGUUGCAUAUUUUU
rnacentral:snRNA from 1 species